rnacentral:lncRNA from 1 species
CCCAGAGCUCAUGACAUUUGAUCUUCAACCCAAGGACAGCCCAUGCUUCCUGUGGUUGCUGUCUUUUGGUUUGUCGGUGCCUCUGUCCCCUGUUGGGCUCCUUGGAGGGAGCUUGCUUGCAAGCAGACGGAUGGAAGCCCACCUGACCUGUCUAGCUGUGGCCACUUCCUCCUUCCCAGCUCAGCCUUUGCUGUGAGAGCUCGGAGUGAAUGCCUUUGAGACCAAACAACAGGAAACCACGAAGCAGGGUGUGAGGCCAGGAACAGGAGCACACCAGGAUGAAGGAGCACACCAGGAUGAAGGAGCACACCAGGAUGAAGGAGCACACCAGGAUGAAGGAGCACACCAGGAUGAAGGAGCACACCAGGAUGAAGGAGCACACCAGGAUGAAGGAGCACACCAGGAUGAAGGAGCACAGGCCCUACUUGUCAAGCCUGCUGACUUGGGCUGCUCAGGCUUCUGGUCUUUCAGCCCGGACAGGGGGUAACUGUUCUCUGGGGAUGGAGCUGUGAACGAGGCAAGAACUCAGUUCACAACAGAGCCAACAGAACUCAGAGAGGCACGAGGCACCAGCCCAAGUACUGCCUAAGAAAGAGGGAUGGGGACCCAGGUGGUGCC